rnacentral:snoRNA from 1 species
AAACCAUGCAUUGGGCAUUUUCUAGUUAAAUCGUUGAAUCGCUUCCAUGCUUCAUAUAAUGUUUCAUCCUCAGAUUGUCGAAAGGAAGAAAUAUCAUUCCUCAAUUU